GAAAUUCUCUCAAUCCUGUAGUAACUCCACCCCAUUAGUUUGUUGGUUUGGAUCUUCACCUACUGCACUGUUGUGCUCCAAAUUUUCUCCUGGCCUAUGAAGGGACAGAAUUCUCCUUCUUUGCUUCUCUUUCCUUGCAUGCUUGCUGAGUACGGGUUCUUGCCUUCCCUUAAUGAGAGCUGUGCUUUCUGACUAACCUUGGAAUCAUUUACAUGCUCUUGUACUCUGCCCCCUGAAUUCUCUGUACUGACAGUUUAUCUGUUCAGAGUUGAAUAGUAGGGUAUAAUUUAUAGAUAUGUUUAUGUUGCAUAGGAUUAGAAUGUAAAUUUUUCAUAGCUUGCACAGGAAAUACAAAAGUGGGAAUCCCUUUAGUGUGCUUUCUCAGUUGCCUCAAGGUCCUUCAAAAUCCUGUUUCAAACCCACUUGCUUUCCCCCUUUGUUUGACGCUGUACUUAAACAGGACUCCACCUGCUAAGAAAGCAGGUUUUUCACUUUCUGUAUUGUGCCUAUGCUCUUUAGGGGCUUGGUUCAUCUAUUGUUAUUGUGACUUCAUUUACCACUUCAGCACUCCUUUGCACAAAGGCUUAGACAAACUUGGUGCCCACUGAGGUAGCUUGCUUAGCCUGCCUGCCCUUGGGUCAGGGCAGCAAUGUCGACAGAUAACCACUUCACCUGAGCCUGCUUCCCACAGAGAUGUGUUACAGUUCCCUUUCCCACACGCUCCUCCUUAAAGCAAAUAUGUGUCAACAUCCUAAUGGUCCCAAGAAUUUAUAAAUUAUAUAUAGACUGCCUGUAUCACCUUAUUUCUUCUUUGUCAAGGAUAUCUCAUUAGGAAAGAGGAAUGAAAACUGUAGGACUACCCACAAAUGAUGACUGAGUUAACAGAGCACUCAACAACUAAAGGAGCUGAAAAUAUGCAGGGAACUGAUGUGCUGGCACCCCAGAGAAGGAGAAAAGCUGCACCUCUUUCUUAUGUAGCAGAAACAUUUCUCUGUGGACUGAAUGGUUGGAAGCUCAAGUGGAGAAAGCUCACUUGACAGGAAGCAGGCAAAUUGUCAUCUGCAGUCUAUUGAAGAAAAGAUUUGCAUUUUAUUCCUCCCUGGAGACAGGUUAUAAGAAAGAAGAAUUAGCAGGUAAAAUGGAGCAAGUCUGAAAUAAAGCACUUGUGUUGACUGUCCACCCUACCAUCAGUCUUCCCUUGCCAGCAAAUUCAGUGAAGCAAUAUAUUUUCAGACCUGCAGAUUAUUUAAGGUAGCUGUGGCUGAUGACUCCAAGAAUGCAGCUGCUAACACCUGGGUUAUAAAUAGGGGUAACUGCGGAGGAAGAGCAGAUACAUACCUGUCUCUAAGCCAAAACAUUUUAUUCAAGGAGCAUUUUCAGAAAAAAAACCAGACUAGGACAAUGGGAACAGUUUCUAAGAAAUAUGCUUAAAUGGCACUGUGCCAGGGCAAGGCAAGAGUGGUUACAAAAUAAGAGCAAAGACUUUGCUUAAUAUUCAGAGCUAUGGCUUACAGGAAUCCUAAAUGACAGAGGAGCUGGGCAACUCAAGAGAUUAGAUGGGCACUGCCACACAUCUUGCUAUGGCACUUUUUGAAUCUUGAAUAACAACAACAGCAACA